GUGUCAGCCGCCGCGGUAAGACGAACCGUGCGAACGUUAUUCGGAUUCACUGGGCUUAAAGGGCGCGUAGGCGGCGAUUCAAGUCUGGGGUGAAAGCCUUCGGCUUAACCGGAGAAGUGCCUUGGAUACUGGAUCGCUCGAGGGGGAUAGGGGCAUGCGGAACUUCCGGUGGAGCGGUGAAAUGCGUAGAUAUCGGAAGGAACGCCGGUGGCGAAAGCGGCAUGCUGGGUCCCUUCUGACGCUGAGGCGCGAAAGCCAGGGGAGCAAACGGGAUUAGAUACCCGAGUAGUCC
rnacentral:rRNA from 1 species